rnacentral:lncRNA from 1 species
UGCGGGGUAUCUGGGACCAGCCAGGUCUUGGUCUGUAGGCUGGAGGUGAGAAGUCCUCACCCCCAUCUCACAGCACUGCCAGCGCGUUCCCGUUCUGAGUCAUUCCUUUGCCUGUUUAUUUUUGGUAUUUAUUUAUUUACCAGCGAGGUGUCAGCCCAGAGCAGGCUGGCUGUGCCGAACUCCUCCGGUGGCCCAAUGGCCGCUGCCAGCUCUCUCCAAGCCUGCUGUGUUGGGAGUGCUUCCACCCUGAGCCAAGGGAGAGAGAGAUUGGGUUCCUGUGAGAGCAAUGCCACCACAAUCUCCCACCAGAAGCGUGCUCGGCUCCAGAACAGAUGGUGGUGGAGAAAAUGUGGCCAGGGAGACUUUAGGAGAGAGUUUUCUUAACGUUUGUUUCCUGGCUGAGGCAGAGUGGGUUUCCAUCACAGAGCGAAGAAAGACAACAGGUAAGACCGAGAUGCAUUUUGUAUACAAGAAAAAAGAUGAUCUAGACUUUUGCUACCAUUUCUUGGGCUUCCCUGCUGAGGUGGGACCCCCUUCCAUGACUGGUUGAGGAGAAGAUCUAUGAAGUAUCUGCAAUGGCAUUCCCAUGCUACUACAGAGCUAAAGGAGAGAAAUCUUCACAAGAUACGUGCCCCAGGGCUGGCUGGGGUGGAACGAGGCCAUUGCUAUGGUGCCGGUGCCCUCUUGGUGUUAAUGAUUUAAGUCACAGCUCUCAGCUGAGAUGAGAAGGGGCUGUUGUCCUCAACGGGGAACUUAAGCAAGGAGUAGAGAAGACAGAUCCAUGCAAGGUCCCACAGGGGGUGCCUGAAGGAGAAUGAGGGUGGAUCCCUGCUCUGCUCGGCCAAAUAUUUGAGCCUCGUGUCAAGCGAAUCAUUUUGGAAAAAGCCAGAGUUUCUCUGUUCCAAAGUCCAAGCCAGAGCCAAGUUGGAACAGACAUCUGGAAGGCUCUACUGCGUCCAUUUGUGGUGACUUAUGCGUGCUGGGUUGUAGGGCAUCAGGAAAAGUGGUGCUUUCCACUGUAUUUCUGUCCAGAAGGAGCAUCUGUUCUGAUGGGCUCUGCAGUUCUGCAUUGUAUCUCUGGGAUACUUGGCCAAACUCCUGCAAGCCUUCAUGUUCUUGCUUCUGGGCUCAUUCUGGGUGGCCAGCAUGGCCAGUACCUCCCUCUUUGCAAGGUCCUUGCAGGAAGGAUCUGAGAGCCAUCAGCCUUAAUCAAACUUGGCUUUUGCUUGGGGCAGGAUCGUGUUCCUCUGCAUACCACUGUAGAUGUGGCAGGCAAGGAAUUUGUCAUAGUGUCUGAUGACCUUGCCUUCGGGGCGAGGUGCCAAGAAUGCCCCAUGUUUUCUCGGGGUGGGGUGCUGUCCACUACUAAUGCCCAGUGAAGCGUGAUGACAGGGGUGAACGCACACUGGGAUUGCUGGGGUAUUUGCUGGCGGGCCUGGUGGGGGAGGAUCCCGGAUGCCACCACCUUGUUAUUUAGGGCAAUGGACUGAGCUGCUGAGCUAGAUCUUUCAUGGCUUCAGCCAAUUUUCGGCCCCUGCAGAAACAUUUCAUAGACAUCCAUUCUUUGCACGUCUAGGUGUCAUGUUUCUGGGAGUCCUCUAUUCAUCCCAGGAGCCUAUUGCAAAUGCUUUCACUCUUCCCUGAUUCUCAGAGCUGAAGCACUGUUGUUAACAGUCCAUUAGCUGUUUAACCUUGUCCCUUUUAGAUUUUCUGGAGCUUCAGAAGUAUGACUUCCAUCCAUUUUUCCAUACAGAGAAGCUGAGGCAUAGUGAGCUGUAGUGAAGAGGUUUAUCCCAAGCAAGUCUAACCAAAAAAGUGCUUUAAAUUAAAAUUUCACUGGACCUUUCUGUUGAUCAGAAUGUCCUUUUGUUUCUGGUACUAGAGCCUGCCUGGAGUGCAACUGUGAUAUAGGUUGGUUUGUUUAUCAGUAGGGAUCUGUUGUAUGACAACUGUGUGAAGAGAGAGGGCAUAUCCAUCCUUUCCAAACCUAAGUAACAAUUACUAGGAACAUGCCUUCUUGCUUCUCCCAUUGUGUUCCAAAUGAAUGGAGAGCUGGUUGGAGCAGCAACACACCAUUCUCAUGGACAGGCCACCUAUGGAAGAUAAAGCACAUGACUUCCUUAAGCAAUGUGGUGUUUGCUGUGUAUGCUUGUAGCAUCACAGUGCCCUAGUGUGAGUUGAAGCCUGCAAGGUGAAACGUAGCUGCCAGCGAUCACCUUGGAGUGAUGCUUUCCUGCCCACACCAAUCUUGCUCUGCUUUGUAUGCAAGUGUGAUUGCCAACACCUGCACAAAGCAAAGGCAUCAUGCUAACAGACCUGAAGAGCAGCAUGUGGUACCUGUUCAGCUGUGGCUGGGGGCACAGGCAGGUGAAAGUAUAAGCAUCAACUCUGAAGGUGAAAAGUAAGCUGCCAGUCUUAAGCUUAAACAGGGUUUUCUGUUAGGCUCCAGCACUGUAUCUCUGUAGCCAUCCCUUUUGCCUCACUCCAUCACACAUCACAGUCUCAUCUUUCUAGUAAUUGUUCCUCUGUAUCAAUUUUUAGAUGAAGCCCUGCAGCCACCUGUAGUGGGAGCAUAGAGGAGUGCUACCAAGUAGUACAUCCAGUGAUCCGUGAUCCUGACCAGAGCCUCGAGCUCUUCCCAAACUGUUUGAAUUGCAAGUAAAGUGGGAAGGAGGGAAGCGUGUGUACGAGAGAGGAGGGACACCACUGUGUUGGCAUUUUCCUGCCUUUGCAGGCUUUGUGAUGAAAGACAGCACAGCUGUGUGUCUCCUUGCUAUUACAGAUCCGUGGAUGCCCCCUUGGAGCCCUGAGAUCUGGAUCAGUAUCCUGUCUUGAUGGCCACUGCAUAGCCAGCUAACAAGGAGGCCAUCCCAAUCAAACUCCCAAACAGGAUACCAGAUGAAAGGCCAAAAAGGAGUAGCUCAGACCAAUGGGUGGAGUAGAGCUGGUCGGAGAAAGUGGCAAUGAAAUGGAAGGGUGUAGUGGAAAAUCAGGAACUGUGCCUUGCAACUAGUCUAACCAGGACCCGAGGGGAGAAGGUUUCUAGGCAUUGCGGUAGCAGCUUUGCAAAUUCUGAAAGAGAGCUGAAUGUUUUUUGUUGUUUUAUUCUUCUAUGUACAUGAGCAAGCACAGAGAUGUUUGGCAAAUGGCUAAGUCUCAAACGUUGGUGUGUUACCCUUCACUUAACCAUCGAUUAGAGGUUGUUGCAAGACACCACUACUUCAGUUUGUGGCAAAAGACAGUUGGAAAAGGAGGAAAAUGGAGUUUAUAGGAAAAGAGAGCAUUUGAGGAGUCCCUGUGAUGUCCUUGCUUUGGCUGGCUGUGUAAAACCCUUCGUGCUCCCAGCCCGACCUCCAGGCUGCAAGACCUGUAGUGGUCCCCUGAGUGUGCACCAUGGAGGGUCGCUUUCUUGUGGUGGGAGCAGGACGUUCACACCAGGGCUAGGUGUGAGGGGGACAAGCAUACCAGCCAUGUGUGGCACUUUGGUAAGAGAAGGAUCCAGGCUUCUGCAUAGAUUUAAGUCAAAAGGUGCUUUGUCAUCUGGUUGUGCAAGAGCCUCUGUGGCAGAGGGGAUGUGAGUGACGGACAGGAAGAGGGGUGUGCCUGUGUGUGCAGAAGGAAAUACACACGGCAGCUGUUGUAAUUGUUUUAGUAAAAGAAUAUUUCCCAGAAUUUCUCCUCUGGCACCUGGGGGCCCUUCCCAGGAUGCCCUUUCCAAAGCUACUGUUUGAUUUCUAGGGCAGAUGCACACGCACGCGCGGUCCCAAAUUAUUCAUGCAAAACCUACAAUCCCGCCAGCGCAUGACUCCUUUCCCCUUUGCUGACAGGAAAGGGGGAGUGUGGGGGCUGAAAUAAUGACAGCGCUGAUUAUAAUUAAUAUUUUUUUGUGUCUGAAGAGUGAAAGUCCUGCCCAAGCCCCCCAGCUGAGCACAAGCCAACGCGCUAAAUCCCUGUAGGGGUGUGUUUUAUUACUGACGCUCUGCGUGUCGAGGCUGGUCGCAGGGUCUGAUGCUGUGUGUGUGGAAUUUUUGUGGCUAUUUUCUAUUGUGCCAAUGAAAAGCAAAAUCCUAUUUGUAUAAUAAAAAGGAAACAUGAAGGUUUCCA